rnacentral:rRNA from 1 species
ACAGAGGGUGCAAGCGUUAAUCGGAAUUACUGGGCGUAAAGCGUGCGUAGACGGUUGCGUAAGUCGGAUGUGAAAUCCCCAGGCUCAACUUGGGAACUGCAUCCGAUACUGGAUGGCUUGAAUCCGGGAGAGGGAUGCGGAAUUCCAGGUGUAGCGGUGAAAUGCGUAGAUAUCUGGAGGAACACCGGUGGCGAAGGCGGCAUCCUGGACCGGCAUUGACGCUGAGGAGCGAAAGCCAGGGGAGCAAACGGGA